rnacentral:tRNA from 1 species
AGAAUAAUAAGUUAAGGAGAGAAACUGUUUGAUUCAUAUUCAAAAAACGAAUCUAAGAGGCAUUCUUAUUCUU